UUUUAUUUUUUUUUGUAUUAUUAGUUAUACCAAUAUAUAAAAGUAACCUCAAAGUUACAUACCAAUAUAUAAAAGUAACCUCAAAAACAUAAUUUACACGACCAAAAUGGGUGAAACCGCUCAUGAAUGAAUGAAUAUUGAAAAUGAGUUUCUUCUAGUGUACUCUGACGAAAACUAUUUCUUCUUGCUUUUCAAGACAACAACCAAAUUCAAAAUUAUUAGAUUAACAUCGCACUACACUCCCCAAACAUCUCCUCCAUCCACACAAAUAACCGACGUCAUCAUUUCCAAGCAUCAGCCCUGAUAGUCCACCCUAAAGCAUACAUCUUAGCUACUGUCCCCAAUCGAUUCUCACCUAAAUCAAAUAAUCUUCUAAACCUAUCACAUAAAACACCUAUUUUCAUCCAAACAUCAGACUAAAAAAGUGUAGUUGUCCCAUCACACAAAGAAAAGAGUCUUCCUUUGUAGAUUGUUGAUAGACAUAGGCGUGCUUUCUUGUUUUUGUUUUUUCCUCAAUUGUAAAAGAAAAAAGUGUGUUUCCAUGGUAGAUUUUUAUUGAGAAAUGUUAUCUCGACAACCUUUUUAUUUUUAAUUACUUAUUUCUCUCUCUUAUAAAUGUUGUUUUUGAGAUGUUCAAAUAACAUUCA
rnacentral:lncRNA from 1 species